rnacentral:tRNA from 1 species
AUGGUGAAAUGGUAGACACGCGAGACUCAAAAUCUCGUGGUGAAGAGCGUGGAGGGAAAUUUCUAGUAAAAGGAAAAACCGUCGACUUUAUAAGUUGUGAGGGUUCAAGUCCCUCU